AAUGUAGCAAUACAUGGCGUACUGCUCAGUAACACGUGGACAACCUACCCUCCGGACGGGUAUAAACCCGGGAAACUGGGUAUAAUCCCCGAUAGAUCUCGGUCGCUGGAAUGCCCCGAGAUCGAAAGCUCCGGCGCCAGAGGAUGGGUCUGCGGCCUAUCAGGUAGUAGUGGGUGUAGCGUACCUACUAGCCUACGACGGGUACGGGUUGUGAGAGCAAGAGCCCGGAGAUGGAUUCUGAGACACGAAUCCAGGCCCUACGGGGUGCAGCAGGCGCGAAAACUUUACAAUGCCGGCAACGGCGAUAAGGGGACCUCGAGUGCCAGGUUACAAAUCUGGCUGUCGUGAUGCCUAAAAAGCAUUGCAUAGCAAGGGCCGGGCAAGACCGGUGCCAGCCGCCGCGGUAACACCGGCGGCUCGAGUGGUAACCGUUAUUAUUGGGUCUAAAGGGUCUGUAGCCGGCCGGAUAAGUCUCUUGAGAAAUCCAGCAGCUCAACUGUUGGGCUUUCAGGAGAUACUGUUCGGCUCGAGGCCGGGAGAGGUGAGAGGUACUUCAGGGGUAGGGGUGAAAUCUUGUAAUCCUUGAAGGACCACCAGUGGCGAAGGCGUCUCACCAGAACGGACCUGACGGCAAGGGACGAAAGCUAGGGGCACGAACCGGAUUAGAUACCCGGGUAGUCCUAGCCGUAAACGAUACUCGCUAGGUGUCGGCCACGGUGCGACCGUUGUCGGUGCCGUAGGGAAGCCGUGAAGCGAGCCACCUGGGAAGUACGGCCGCAAGGCUGAAACUUU
rnacentral:rRNA from 1 species